CAAAGGGAAAUAUAAAUAUAAACAAUGCAUACAUGGCAUACAAAUUGAAUGCAAAUCAUAUAUGUAAAUAGUACAAUACAAGGGAAACAUAUAUAUGUACUCAGUACAAUACAGGGGAAAUAAUCAAUACAUAAAUACUUGACACACAGCAUAUAACAUUCAAUUAUUGAAAACGGUGAACUGUGAACACUUUAGUUCUAACCCUAUUUACGUGUGAAGAUCGUGUCCAAUCCCGGGGCUGUGACCUGGUGUUGUGGGCCUGAAAUCAUCCGCGUGGCUUGGUGGCGGCUGUCGGGAAUCAAAUGCAACUUGAACCGGUGGUGUUGGCGGCGGCAUAAUUGCAGCCACAUUUGUUUUCGCGAUCUUUGUUGAGGAGUAAGCAUUUAAAUCAUUUUUCUCCUUCAAAUUCAAAUUUCUUCCCUCGAUAGAUUGAAUUUUCAGGGAGAAAAUCAUGAUAAGAACAAGGGAAAAAGUGAUUAAAUGUGAAUGAGCCAUAAGAACAUGCACAAGGAGAGAAAAAUAGGGAAGGACAAGAAAUAUAAUUAGC
rnacentral:lncRNA from 1 species